GAUGACGCUGGCGGCGGCCUACACAUGCAAGUCGAGCGGUAGAGAGAAGCUUGCUUCUCUUGAGAGCGGCGGACGGGUGAGUAAUACCUGGGAAUCUGCCUGAUAGUGGGGGAUAACGUUCGGAAACGGACGCUAAUACCGCAUACGUCCUACGGGAGAAAGCAGGGGAUCUUCGGACCUUGCGCUAUCAGAUGAGCCCAGGUCGGAUUAGCUUGUUGGUGAGGUAACGGCUCACCAAGGCGACGAUCCGUAACUGGUCUGAGAGGAUGAUCAGUCACACUGGAACUGAGACACGGUCCAGACUCCUACGGGAGGCAGCAGUGGGGAAUAUUGGACAAUGGGCGAAAGCCUGAUCCAGCCAUGCCGCGUGUGUGAAGAAGGUCUUCGGAUUGUAAAGCACUUUAAGUUGGGAGGAAGGGUUGUAGUUUAAUACGCUGCAAUCUUGACGUUACCGACAGAAUAAGCACCGGCUAACUCUGUGCCAGCAGCCGCGGUAAUACAGAGGGUGCAAGCGUUAAUCGGAAUUACUGGGCGUAAAGCGCGCGUAGGUGGCUAAGUAAGAUGGGUGUGAAAUCCCCGGGCUCAACCUGGGAACUGCAUCCAUAACUGCUUAGCUAGAGUACGGUAGAGGGCGGUGGAAUUUCCUGUGUAGCGGUGAAAUGCGUAGAUAUAGGAAGGAACACCAGUGGCGAAGGCGACUACCUGGGACUGAUACUGGACACUGAGGUGCGAAAGCGUGGGGAGCAAACAGGAUUAGAUACCCUGGUAGUCCACGCCGUAAACGAUGUCNACUAGCCGU
rnacentral:rRNA from 1 species